rnacentral:rRNA from 1 species
UACAGAGGGUGCGAGCGUUAUCCGGAAUCACUGGGCGUAAAGGGCGUGUAGGUGGUUUGUUAAGUUCGAUGUUAAAUACUGAAGCUCAACUUCAGCACGGCGUUUGAAUACUGGCAGGCUAGACAAUUGGAGAGGCAAGUAGAAUUACCAGUGUAGCGGUGAAAUGCGUAGAUACUGGUAGGAAUACCCAUUGCGAAGGCAGCUUGCUAGACAAUUUGUGACACUCAGACGCGAAAGUGUGGGGAGCAAACCGG